CUGCUCUCCGGUUCUUCCACUGGAUACGAUCUAUACUGAGUAUUCCACGUAAUGCCAUACAUGUAUUGCUAUCCCACAGCAAAAUAAUUCAGUAUGCGUAGUUUCAAUGUGUAUGUUAUCACACCAACCGACGACUUGAUCUGCGUAGACGUAUGCUGACGUAACUAGGCUAACGGUUCUUUUGACGAAGGCUUUGAUCUGGGCUGACGAAUAACUAUUCAUGUGU